rnacentral:piRNA from 1 species
GUCCUUUAAGCACCUGCGUGAUGACUGCCUC